UACAGAGACUGCGAGCGUUAUUCGGAUUCACUGGGCGUAAAGGGUGCGCAGGCGGCCGUGUGUGUGAGGCGUGAAAGCCCGGGGCUUAACCCCGGAAUUACACCUCAAACUACAUGGCUAGAGCAUUGGAGAGGGUAGCGGAAUUCACGGUGUAGCAGUGAAAUGCGUAGAUAUCGUGAGGAACACCAGAGGCGAAGGCGGCUACCUGGACAAUUGCUGACGCUCAGGCACGAAAGCGUGGGGAGCAAAAGGG
rnacentral:rRNA from 1 species